rnacentral:rRNA from 1 species
GAUCUGGCUCAGGAUGAACGCUAGCUACAGGCUUAACACAUGCAAGUCGAGGGGAAACGAUAGAGAAAGCUUGCUUUUUCUAGGCGUCGACCGGCGCACGGGUGAGUAACGCGUAUCCAACCUGCCCACCACUUGGGGAUAACCUUGCGAAAGUAAGACUAAUACCCAAUGAUAUCUCUAGAAGACAUCUGAAAGGGAUUAAAGAUUUAUCGGUGAUGGAUGGGGAUGCGUCUGAUUAGCUUG